rnacentral:rRNA from 1 species
UGGGGAAUCUUGGACAAUGGGCGCAAGCCUGAUCCAGCAAUGCCGCGUGGGUGAAGACGGCCUGCGGGUUGUAAAGCCCUUUAGGCGGGGAGGAACGACCGGACGAUAAGACCGUCUGGAAGUGACGUUACCCGCGGAAUAAGCACCGGCUAACUCCGUGCCAGCAGCCGCGGUAAUACGGAGGGUGCGAGCGUUAAUCGGAAUUACUGGGCGUAAAGCGUGCGUAGGCGGAGGGGUCAGUCGGCCGUGAAAGCCCCGGGCUCAACCUGGGAACGGCGGUCGAGACGGCCCGUCUCGAGUGGGCUAGAGGAUCGUGGAAUUCCGGGUGUAGCGGUGAAAUGCGUAGAGAUCCGGAGGAACACCGAUGGCGAAGGCAGCGGUCUGGGGCCACACUGACGCUGAGGCACGAAAGCGUGGGGAGCAAACAGG